GGGCAGCAGCGGCAGUACAUCCGUUCCUCAUCGCCGCAGUCCAUCUCGUGGUGCUUCACUUCCCAGCAGUAGGGCAGGCGUUUACCAUAUGGCAUUCUGGUACAUCACUGUCACUGUCCUGGGUGUUACAGCGUAUCUUCCAAGGGCACUGCUGUCAUCAAGUCUCAAAAACAGGAGGUCUAUAGUACUGGACAUGGAAACGAAUUGUCGGAAAUUUUUAAGGCAGUAAA